rnacentral:lncRNA from 1 species
AUAAUUAUAAAUAAUUACACAAUUUCUCUAUCCUUCCAACCAAAUCAACCCCUGAACCCCCAGGGGUCUCGAAGAAUCCAUACACCUCUUCCACUGCCGCCUCCGAAUCACCGAACCAAUCACCAUCCCGACCACCAACAACACAAAUCGCCACACAAAAACCUUAUUCCCCAACCCCACCAAAAUUGACUUCUGGGAAUUCAAAAUAUAACCAAUUGAUAUAACCCCAGAAGAAGCCAAACACAGAAUUUCAGCAAUUGAGAGAAAAGCAUCGAAAUCAAAAUUGUCUUUAGCGUCAUCUUCUUAUUCAUUAUCUAUGAUUCUACUAUGUGAUUGAAAAGCUCUGAUGGGGACACGGCGGGCAUAAAAGAUUUGUUUGAAGAGCGGGAUUUGGGAAUUUGGAGAUAUGGGGUGUUUGUGAGUACGGUGGAGAGGGAGAGGGAGAGGGUUCUUGAAAUUGGGAUUUAUGGACCGGAAGGAGACUAGGGGGUGGGAAUUUGUGAGGGAGUGGUUUUGAGAAGUGGGUGACAUUAUGGGGUUACUGGGAAGGCUUUAAAAGAGCACAUUGCUGUCGGACUGUGCUCCGAUUGUGGACCUUGUAAGUCGGUACUGAGGGCGAGGAGCAUGUGGGGUGUCGAGGAAGGGUAGUAUGAGAAGGAGAUCGGUGGUGGGGUGCAACGUGGUUCACUUCUUGUUGGACAGAGGAUGAAAAAUCAAGCAUGGGUGAUGUGAUGAUAAUGAACUAGUGUGAUAGAGGAAGAUGAAAUUUCUAUAUCUGAUCGGUUUGGUUUUAUUUUUGUUUAAAUUUAGUUUAAGUUAAUAUAAGAUGUUAUAUUAUUUUUUUGUCUUUUAAAGUUAAUAAAAUAAUUUAAAGAUUAGUAUUUUUUAACAC